AACUGACCUUUAUUUCCUUUUUUAGUAUGUUUUUUCCUCCAGAAAUUUUCUUUGCAAUGCAUUUUCUAUUGCUAUUUUUUGUGCCUUUGUCCAUCCAUGAAUUCAUAGGCUAACAAUAAUUUGUCAGAUUUGUCAGAAUUUCCCGAGACGUAUAGUUUCAAACGCAAUAAAGAAGAUCUUUGUUUGUUGUUUCACUUUUCCAAUGUGUAAAUUUUUACUAUGUACACGUACAUGACCCUGACACAUAUUUUGUUUUUAACGUUACAUGACGUAUGUUGAAAAAAGAAAACAAUGUCACCGUCAAUUUGUGUAGGGGAUCAAAAGGGGUUUUAGUUACUUUAAAAUACAGGUGUCGUAUGGAAUUGUGAAAAACCACAACUUUUAAUCAAAAUUUCAUUCAUAUCUUUAAUAAAAUCAGUAUUUUAGAGUACUUUUGAAACAGGUACAAUGAAAAGAAGCUAAACUUCACUGUUUUGAAGUAGAAACGCAGCUAAAACCAGAUACAAAUUGACAUGGCUGGUGGUCACUAAAAUUGAUGUAUAAAGUAAAAAAUGAUGGCUUCAAAAUUGUGUAGAAAUUUGAAAUAGGUUUCCCGGUUUCAUUUAAAAUUAUAACCGUUCUUUUCUGUAUUUGGAUACGCAAACG
rnacentral:lncRNA from 1 species